rnacentral:rRNA from 1 species
UACAGAGGUGCCAAGCGUUAGGCGGAAUCACUGGGCUUAAAGCGCGUGUAGGCGGGUCGUUAAGUGUCCGAGUGAAAUCCCACGGCUCAACCGUGGAACUGCCGGGCAUACUGGCGAUCUUGAGGCAUUCAGGGGCGAGCGGAACAAAUGGUGGAGCGGUGAAAUGCGUAGAGCUCGUGAGGAAGACCGGUGGCGAAGGCGGAUCUCUGGACGGCCCCUGACGCUGAGGCGCGAAGGCUAGGGGAGCAAACGGG